GACGAACGCUGGCGGCGUGCUUAACACAUGCAAGUCGAACGGAAAGGCCUGCUUUCCCUUGUGGAUUGCGGGUACUCGAGUGGCGAACGGGUGAGUAACACGUGAGUGAUCUGCCCCCAACUUGGGUAUAAGCCUGGGAAACUGGGUCUAAUUCCCGAUAGGACUGCAGGGUGGUGCCUGUGGUGGAAAACGAUUUUCUAGUGGUUGGGGAUGAGCUCGCGGCCUAUCAGCUUGUUGGUGGGGUAAUGGCCAACCAAGGCGGCGACGGGUAGCCGGCCUGGGAGGGUGGACGGCCACAUUGGGACUGAGAUACGGCCCAGACUCCUACGGGAGGCAGCAGUGGGGAAUAUUGCACAAUGGGCGGAAGCCUGAUGCAGCGACGCCGCGUGGGGGAUGACGGCCUUCGGGUUGUAAACUCCUUUCGACCGCGAGGAAGCCACCUGGUUGGAAGGGUGGUGACGGUAGUGGUAGAAGAAGCACCGGCUAACUACGUG
rnacentral:rRNA from 1 species